UGGGGGAUAUUGCACAAUGGGCGAAAGCCUGAUGCAGCGACGCCGCGUGGGGGAUGAAUGCCUUCGGGUUGUAAACUUCUUUUGCUCUGAACAAGGCAUGCCUUUGGGGUGUGUUGAGUGUAGGGGUUGAUUAGCGCCGGCUAACUACGUGCCAGCAGCCGCGGUAAUACGUAGGGCGCGAGCGUUGUCCGGAAUUAUUGGGCGUAAAGGGCUUGUAGGUGGCUGGUUGCGUCUGUCGUGAAAGCUCAUGGCUUAACUGUGGGUUUGCGGUGGGUACGGGCUGGCUUGAGUGCAGUAGGGGAGGCUGGAAUUCCUGGUGUAGCGGUGGAAUGCGCAGAUAUCAGGAGGAAUACCGGUGGCGAAGGCGGGUCUCUGGGCUGUUACUGACGCUGAGGAGCGAAAGCGUGGGGAGCGAACAGG
rnacentral:rRNA from 1 species